rnacentral:rRNA from 1 species
AAUCAACGCUGGCGGCGUGCCUCAGACAUGCAAGUCGAACGCGAAAGUCCCCUUCGGGGGACAAGUAGAGUGGCGCACGGGUGAGUAACACGUAGGUAAUCCACCUUCGGAUGGGGAAGUAACAACCGGAAACGGGUUGCUAAUACCGCAUAAUGCAGCGGCACCUAAUGGUGACAGUUGUUAAAGCGGGGGAUCGAAAGACCUCGCGUCUGAAGAGGAGCCUGCGGCGGAUUAGCAGUUUGGUAAGGUAACGGCUUACCAAGGCGACGAUCCGUAGCCGGCCUGAG